GUUUGCCCUCGCAAGGGAGGCAAGUCCGCCCAAGCUUCCGGUCAUGCUCAAGUCAGCCUGGCCGUCAUCUCCUUCAGGAAGCCUUCUCUGGUCCCUGCUCCCCUAAUCACAAAAGGUCAGUGUAUAGUUCAGUGGCAUAAAGGAUGCUGCUGUGAGACCAUCACCACCACCCAUCUCCAGAACUGUUUCAUCUUGCAAAACUGAAAUGCUACCAUUGGACCAUAACUUCCCAGUCCUCCCUCCCCACCAGUGCCUGGCAAAUUGCCAUUCAACUUUCUAUGAAUUCUCUAUGAAUUCAACCACUCCAGGUGCCAUAGGAGGGAGUGGUGCUACUGUUGUCCUUGUCUAGAAAAAUGCAGCGUGAUCAAGCCGUCUUCAUUCCCUGGGCUUUGCCACAUCUUUCCAGGGUCCCUGCCUCUGGACUGACUUGUGCGAUCCAUCCUGCCUGCGCCGUCAGCCUGAAAUUACUGAAGCUCAGCUCUGGCCAUGGAAUGCCCCAUCACAACCCUUCUGUGUCCACCUUUGGAACAGCGCCUGGGACCUUGACCUGGUGCUGCCUGGCGCCACCCUCUCUUGCUCCUCCUUGAGCCACCCUCUGCUGAAGUCAAGGGUUGCUCCCACGUGUACAUGGUGCCUCUCUUCGUCUGAACCUCUGCCAGCUCUGCUCCCUCUCUCUGGAAUGUCUGGCCCACGUCUCUGUAGGACUAGAGACUCCCUUCUGAGAUCAAAUCCCAAGAGGCCUCCUCGGUCUCGUGGAGGGAACUUUGUUUCCAACAGUGUCGAGCAGGGACCCUUCAUCUCUACAGCGUCACCUGCCCACUGGGCUUAGUCUUCACUGUCCCCCUCACACGUCCUACUGGGCAGCUCCUCUCCUGACCUGGCUCAUGAAUGCACGGAGCCCCAUGAAUCUCAGCGUUGGAAGGGACCUACGGGCCAGUUAUUCUGACCUGCCUGUGCGUGGUUGAAGCCUCUGGAGUAACUUCCUUCUGGAUGAAUACCAUGUGUAAUCAGGGGAGGGGAAAGAAAGGUUAUAGGCCCUCGGCCAUUUGCUAUUUGCAUGAGGAAGUGGGAGCUUGGGAAAGGAGGUCCCAUGUGGCUUUGUGAAUGGGCAGAAAAAAGUCCUUUGUUUUCUUUGGCUGCUGUUUGGUUGACCCAGGCGAUGGCACAAGGCGCAGAAUGGUUAUGUGGGACAUCUGCCCCGCAUUUUUCAGGGCCACCGGAGCAGCUGGACUGGCGGCUGGCCCAGCACA